ACCACAAUUGCUGAACCAUAUGGUUAAAGUAUGUUUAAUUUUGUAAAAAACUACCAAAGUGUCUCCCAAAGUGGCUAUACUCCUUUGCAUUUCCACCAGCAGU
rnacentral:pre_miRNA from 1 species